CAGUCUGUCUGUAUGUGUAUUUAGCAGUCUGUCUGUGUACUUAGCAGUCUGUCUGUAUUUAGCAGACUGCUGAGUACACAGUCUGCUGAAUACACACACAGACAGACUGCUAAAUACACACACA